rnacentral:rRNA from 1 species
ACUCAAUAGAUACCCAGGUAGUCCACGCCCUAAACGAUGUCUACUAGUUGUUGGUGGAGUAAAAUCCAUGAGUAAACGCAGCUAACGCGUGAAGUAGACCGCCUGGGGAGUACGGUCGCAAGAUUAAAACUCAAAGGAAUUGACGGGGGCCCGCACAAGCGGUGGAUUAUGUGGAUUAAUUCGAUGCAACGCGAAAAACCUUACCUGGCCUUGACAUGCCACUAACGAAGCAGAGAUGCAUUAGGUGCCCGUAAGGGAAAGUGGACACAGGUGCUGCAUGGCUGUCGUCAGCUCAUGUCGUGAGAUGUUGGGUUAAGUCCCGCAACGAGCGCAACCCUUGCCAUUAAUUGCCAUCAUUUAGUUGGGCACUUUAAUGGGACUGCCGGUGACAAACCGGAGGAAGGUGGGGAUGACGUCAAGUCCUCAUGGCCCUUAUGGCCAGGGCUUCACACGUAAUACAAUGGUCGGUACAGAGAGUUGCCAACCCGCGAGGGGGAGCUAAUCUCAGAAAGCCGAUCGUAGUCCGGAUUGUUCU